rnacentral:rRNA from 1 species
AUUGAACGCUGGCGGCAUGCCUUACACAUGCAAGUCGAACGGUAACAGGUUAAGCUGACGAGUGGCGAACGGGUGAGUAAUAUAUCGGAACGUGCCCAGUCGUGGGGGAUAACUGCUCGAAAGAGCAGCUAAUACCGCAUACGACCUGAGGGUGAAAGCGGGGGAUCGCAAGACCCCGCGCGAUUGGAGCGGCCGAUAUCAGAUUAGGUAGUUGGUGGGGUAAAGGCCCACCAAGCCAACGAUCUGUAGCUGGUCUGAGAGGACGACCAGCCACACUGGGACUGAGACACGGCCCAGACUCCUACGGGAGGCAGCAGUGGGGAAUUUUGGACAAUGGGCGCAAGCCUGAUCCAGCCAUGCCGCGUGCGGGAAGAAGGCCUUCGGGUUGUAAACCGCUUUUGUCAGGGAAGAAAAGGUUCUGGUUAAUACCUGGGACUCAUGACGGUACCUGAAGAAUAAGCACCGGCUAACUACGUGCCAGCCGCCGCCGUAA